ACUGCACACAAAACCCAAAGACCAUUGUGCUGCCUCCUCGGUGGUCUUGUCUGCUGUGCACAUAGUGACAGGACCUUGUCGCCUUUCUUGGGCUGAUGUGCCCCUGGAAGUGAACUACAGGGUCCGACAAAU